rnacentral:rRNA from 1 species
AGCUCCAAUAGCGUAUAUUAAAGUUGUUGCGGUUAAAAGCUCGUAGUUGGAUUUCUGCUGAGGGUGGCUGGUCCGCCCUCUGGGUGAGUAUCUGGUACAGCCUGAGCAUUUUCUUGAAAGCACAAUUGCACUUGACUGUGUGGUGUGGUGUUGAGAACAUUUACUUUGAGGAAAUCAGCGUGUUUCAAGCAGGCAGCUGCCUUGAAUACAUUAGCAUGGAAUAAUAUUAUAAGGCCUUGGUUUUAUUUUGUUGGUUUCUAAUAUUAAGGCAAUGAUUAAUAGGGAUGGUUGGGGGGCAUUCGCAUUUAAUUGUCAGAGGUGAAAUUCUUGGAUUUGUUAAAGACGGACUACUGCGAAA